GAAUAAAAUCAAACAAUUAGUAAUUACUCUCGUUUAGUUUCUAUUUGGACAACUUGCAUUAGCCAUUUUGCUUGAUGUUAUCGUACGUUUAAAAACGGGAAAGCCUCUUUUAGUUAAAAUACAACGUCGAUUAUUUUUUUUAAAUAUAGUUCUUCAUAAAUUUGUGAGCACUGAAUGGCUUGUGGAAAAUGAUAGAUUCAAGAAUUUAUCUAGUCUGAUAGCCGAUGAAGACAAGAAUAAAUUAAAUUUAAGGCUUGACUUCCAGUUCGAUAAGGAAUUCACUCACAAUAUGAUUGAAGGAUAUAAACGAUUUAUCUUGAAAGAACCACUCAAACCUUCCAAGCAAACGAUGAUGCGUUUUAAAAUUAUUUUUAUUUUACAUCAUCUGGCGCAGUCUAUCAUAAUCGUUUUGGGCUUAUGGUUGAUUAUAAAAGCCUUUACUCCUUUAACUACAUAGUUUACUAUAUAUAAUUAUAUUUUAUAAUUGUGCAAUAAUUAAAAUUUGGAUAAUUGAGAUAGAAAAAGGGUUGACUUUUAUUAAACAAUUUUUAUUUUCAUUGAGAAUUAAAAGAUUAACUGUCCUAUCCUUGCGGACUCGUUUAAUAGAAAUGCACUCAUUCUAUAGAAAUACAUUUACUCUCUUUUUCGUAUCGGAAGCAUGGAAAAACAAUCUUCGCCCGACGAUUUAAAUUAAAUUCAAACAAAUUGGCAAUUUUGCUUACGAAUUUCGUAUCCUCUGAUAGUGUUUAUAUGAACAGACAAUGUUCAUAAUUCCAUAUGGAAUUAACAUUUCAUUAACGGCUCUCGUUAAGGACCUAUCGUACGAUAUGAUCACAUUUUGAGUUGAUGGUAUUCGAUUGCUUUCGUUCCUGUUCUUUGCAAUAUUUGUGAGAUUAUUGAUGUAUGUAUUAAAAAUUAAUGUAAAGA